UACGUAGGGUGCGAGCGUUGUCCGGAAUUACUGGGCGUAAAGGGCGCGUAGGCGGCCUUCUAAGUCGAACGUGAAAUCCCUGGGCUCAACCCAGGAACUGCGUCCGAUACUGGAAGGCUUGAAUCCGGGAGAGGGAUGCGGAAUUCCAGGUGUAGCGGUGAAAUGCGUAGAUAUCUGGAGGAACACCGGUGGCGAAGGCGGCAUCCUGGACCGGCAUUGACGCUGAGGCGCGAAAGCCAGGGGAGCAAACGGG
rnacentral:rRNA from 1 species